rnacentral:lncRNA from 1 species
AUUUAAUUAUUUUUAACUGAUUUAUACUGAUUUAUAUGAGUUUAAAUAAUUAUUGUUGAUGUUGUGGUGUGGUGUAUUUUAUUAAAUGAUUAUUUUAUUAUUUAAUAGAAUAAGUGGAGAAAUAGAGUUAUUUUAGAGUGAUGGGGCUGUUUUAGAAUUAAGGAGAAUUAGAGGGAGUUAAUGAAUAAAUGGGAGGUUAUGUUUUACUGAGUUAUUAGAAAAUAGAACCAAGAGUCAGAGAACAGGUUUUUUUACGUAGAAACACGAGUUUUGGGAGAAAAGCCAAGAGAAGCUAAAGAGCCAAGAAGAGGAGUCCGAUUUCUGUAGAGCUGUUCCUCGAAAUUAAGGUAAGGGUGAGGCUAACUUUCAAUAAUUAUAGUGUAUGUAAAUUCUGAAAUUGAUUUAACAUGAGGGUUGUUCUUGAUUAUGGGAAUUGGGAAUUAAGUUUUCCAUUGUUGAAUUUGAUUAGAAAAGUGUAGAAACCAUGGCAAUUGUGUUAAGAAUUAAUGUUCAGGUUGUAUAAUAAUCAUAGGUUAAGUUUCCUAACAAAUUUGGGAGUUUGAGUCUAGUGAAUUAAGAGUGAUUCCUAAGUGAAAAAACACAUUGUUAAUAUGAUUUUUGAACUGUUGUGAAGCUCAAAAUCGGCCAUCGAGUUUCCAAAAUUGGCCACCAAUUUCUAAACUGAUUUUCCAGCUUUGGUUCAACAAAAAUCGGCCCCCGAUUUGUCAAAAUCGGCCUCCGAUUUUCUGCCAGGCAAAUCUGGAAAAUAUUCACAAUUUUCACCCUUUUCUGUUUUGAAUUUGCUUUCGGUGUAACAUGAAAGUUGUAGAUAAAUUUGUUAGCUUUCCAAUGGCUUUGGUUUGACUUAAAAAUGAUUUUUAGUUUUUGAGAUAUGAUGAAAAUACUCCAAGGAGGUCUCAGUGAAAUCUUAUGAAAAUGUAUGAUAUAGAAAAUAUCGUUGUUAUUAUCAUUGAAGUUGUUAUUAUUAAUAUUGCUAUGUUGCAAGUUGCUUAUGUUGCUGAGUCGUAUGUUGAUAUACACAAAUGUUGA